UGGAAGUCGUAAGUAUUCAAAAAGAAAUUAUUGUGAAGUCGAUUAUUUUGAUAAUUGCUUUCAGUUUAGUUGUUUUGUGAAUAUGCGGUUCUACUUAUGUUGCAUGGACAUAGUUCCUAUGUUCAAUCCUCAAUUUGAUAGUUCAUAUGUUCGAUUGUACAAUCAAAUUUCGGUCACAUAUCUGCGAAUACCUCAAAAUUUAUCCGGGU
rnacentral:lncRNA from 1 species